GAAUAUUGGACAAUGGGCGGGAGCCUGAUCCAGCCAUGCCGCGUGCAGGAAGACAGCCCUAUGGGUCGUAAACUGCUUUUGUACGGGAAGAAACACCCCCACGUGUGGGGGCUUGACGGUACCGUACGAAUAAGGACCGGCUAACUCCGUGCCAGCAGCCGCGGUAAUACGGAGGGUCCGAGCGUUAUCCGGAAUCAUUGGGUUUAAAGGGUCCGCAGGCGGGCGUCUAAGUCAGUGGUGAAAUCCCGCGGCUCAACCGUGGAAUUGCCAUUGAUACUGGUCGCCUUGAAUCAAUGUGAAGUGGCUAGAAUAUGUGGUGUAGCGGUGAAAUGCUUAGAUAUCACAUAGAAUACCGAUUGCGAAGGCAGGUCGCUAACAUUGCAUUGACGCUGAUGGACGAAAGCGUGGGGAGCGAACAG
rnacentral:rRNA from 1 species